rnacentral:lncRNA from 1 species
CUGUUGCCUUGGCAACAGGUCUGCAGGUUCCACCUAUGUGAUGUUACUGGUUUCCGAGGUCCUGAUACCAACACUAGGAAUGCUAUAUGCAAGCAAGAAUACUGCCUAGCCCAAUCUCCAUGUUCUGUAGGGAUGGAAACAUCUUUUUCACAAGCAAAACGGGCCCAGGAGAUCUAAGAGUAACAAGAAAAAGAUGCCAUUAGCCUACCUGAUCCUUUGGAGCAGAACCCAGGCACCUGGCUGCUAACAAUCAUAAAACUGUAAUGACCUUGGCAUUGCUGCGUUGCCGGUGGUGGAACUCUGAGAUUGUGGUCACCAUCUCUUUUAGUAGUGGACUUUGCAAUCUAAUAGAACUGAUAAUAAAGAUGUAAUUUUAAAAAAAAUCGUCCA